rnacentral:lncRNA from 1 species
CAGCCCCGGCCCUCUGCACCAGCCCUCAGACCUCCCCCUCUAUGGCCGGCCGGCUCCUUACUUAGCUUUUGGAACCAGAGACAGCAAAACAGAGCUGAACUUCGUCACCCAGUCCCCAGAGCUGGCAAGACAUGGGCCCUAUUUUCCAAACCCUGACGCCUUUCAUUUAACCAGAAGACAUGGAGGGGAGCCACCACCCCUGACCAUGUAGAUGCCAGCUCCAGGG